GUUUGGGAAGAAGGGGAAGCUCAGUCCCCGAUAUGCCGGACCUUACUUGCACUACCAGAAAUUGGGUCUAUGGCAACGAAACUUUUGGCGACGAUUGCAAAUGCGUUGCUAUAGACUAUCUAUGGCAAUGCUUCCAACUGUUGCCAUAAAUAAAUAGUUGUAUUGCUACGACUUAGCGCUAUGACCGUCACUAUUGAAAAUGAACCAUUGCAAUAGGUAUAUGUACAACAAUGAUGUUGGAACUGUUGCUAUAAAAACAUCUAUGGUAACACUUAGUGAAAAAAUUAACCGUUGUAAUAGAUAAUUAGUAAUUCCCUCCGUAAUUUUUCACACAUGGUCCGCCAAUUUUUUUUUUCACUUCAUCAAAACAUGUUUUAUCUUUCUCAAUAGAACAAAAGGUUAAGCUAAAACCCCAAUUUCUCUUGCUGUUUCAAACAAACAAGCUCUUCGCAGCUCGUAAUAAAGCUCUAUUUCUCUUGCGAUUUCAAACACACAAGAUCCGAGUGCGAUUGUGAAAUUUUCUUAAACAACAAGCUUUCAAAUCUCAUAGUGAAAUUUCGAAGGUGAAAUUUCAAGCUCUUAGUGAAAUUAAUCUUAUGGCAAACAACAAUCUUCCCUGAACAGUAAUCUGUUAGGGAAAUUUUGACCUCUUAGUGAAAUUUUGAUCCAUUUAGAGCUAUCAAUCUCAUAGUGAAAUUUCGAGCAGGAAUCUGUUAGUGUUUUUUGGUGUUUCGGAGCUAACCCAUUUGCUGUUUUGGAGUAUUCUUCUUUAAUUUGGGGAUUUUAAGGUAUAAAAAGAUGGAGGCAUGUGUAACUCCAUAUCCUGAAACAACUAAUUCAGAUCAAGUUUCUGGGGAAGACCUCAAGCCAUUUUUGGAGAGACUUAAUGUUAUUCCUCCAAGAAUAGCAAGUGGAUCUUUUCCUGGAGUCUCUGUUGAAUCAUUCCAGGAGGACAACAAGUUGUGGAAAAAGCAUGGAAGGCUAGGAGGUAUCAUAAUGCUAAGUUGCUCGGACUCUUCAAAAAAUGUCUACAGAUACUUGUCGGAUCCUUCAAAAAUAGUGUAUUUUUGAAGGAUCCGACACAAGUGCGGCAAUAUUUUUGGAGAGUUUGAGCAACUUAGUCGCAAUGUACUAGAUAUGAAUGUUGACCUAGGAAGUUUUGCUGCAGCACUAGAAUCAUCUAAGGCAUGGAUCAUUAAUUUUAUGACAACUAUAGAUGAAAGGAACACUCUUGGUGUAAUAUAUGAUCGAGGCCUAAUUGGCAUAUACCAUGACUGGUAACUAUAUAAAACUCUUAUCAUAUUUUCUCAUUGCUCUCUAGCAUUAAUUUCCCUCUUUUGUCUUAAUUUUCACGACAGUAAGUUGUAAAUGAAUAAGUAAAUAUAAAAAUGUUGUGGAAA